AUUCGAAAGACAAGGUUACGUGCCUAGUGAGAUGUGGCACUUGUAUGGAAUUUUUUAUUGGACUUUAUUAUUUGUAAGCCACAGAAGACAAUCCACAAAUACCAGGGAACCUGAGGAUCUCUGCUGCGGCCUGCCGCCCUGAGUCCAGGGAGCCUGAGGAUCUCUGCUGCGGCCUGCCGCCCUGAGUCCAGGGAGCCUGAGGAUCUCUGCUGCGGCCUGCCGCCCUGAGUCCAGGGAGCCUGAGGAUCUCUGCUGCGUCCUGCCGCCCUGAGUCCAGGGAGCCUGAGGAUCUCUGCUGCGGCCUGCGGCCCUGAGUCCAGGGAGCCUGAGGAUCUCUGCUGCGGCCUGCCGCCCUGAGUCCAGGGAGCCUGAGGAUCUCUGCUGCGGCCUGCCGCCCUGAGUCCAGGGAGCCUGAGGAUCUCUGCUGCGGCCUGCCGCCCUGAGUCCAGGGAGCCUGAGGAUCUCUGCUGCGGCCUGCCGCCCUGAGUCCAGGGAGCCUGAGGAUCUCUGCUGCGGCCUGCCGCCCUGAGUCCAGGGAGCCUGAGGAUCUCUGCUGCUGCCCUGGGCUUUUGUAAAGCUCGUUACGCUGAACUCCACCGAUAUGAAGACCCAGGGGAGCUGCCGAAAUCGCCCCGAUCGCCCGACACGUCCUCCUGUCCCGUGGGAUCUGUUGUCACGCCCCGGCACUGCAGCAGGAAGGAGAGGUUUCUCUGCCAGAGUGACCCGGCAGGGGACACGAACACAUGAGGAUCACACGGGAAAUACGUCUUCUGCUCCGCAGCUGGUAAAUGCAGCGCGGUGUCUGCGUACCUCCACUCUGCGACCUGUCGGAGGUGUAGAUGCUUCCCGUCACGCCCACCAGCUUCUCUCUGCUCUUCAGCCUGAGAGACGCACGUUGAGUGAGUGACGUUCCUCC